rnacentral:rRNA from 1 species
CAAGGUGAAACCUAAUUGGCCUGAAGAAGAGCUUGCGUCUGAUUAGCUAGUUGGUGGGGUAAGAGCCUACCAAGGCGACGAUCAGUAGCUGGUCUGAGAGGAUGAGCAGCCACACUGGGACUGAGACACGGCCCAGACUCCUACGGGAGGCAGCAGUGGGGAAUUUUCCGCAAUGGGCGAAAGCCUGACGGAGCAACGCCGCGUGAGGGAGGAAGGUCUUUGGAUUGUAAACCUCUUUUCUCAAGGAAGAAGUUCUGACGGUACUUGAGGAAUCAGCCUCGGCUAACUCCGUGCCAGCAGCCGCGGUAAUACGGGGGAGGCAAGCGUUAUCCGGAAUUAUUGGGCGUAAAGCGUCCGCAGGUGGUCAGCCAAGUCUGCU